GACGAACGCUGGCGGCGUGCCUAAUACAUGCAAGUAGAACGCUGGAGGAGGAGCUUGCUUUUUUGGAUGAGUUGCGCACGGGUGAGUAACGCGUAGGUAACCUGCCUGGUAGCGGGGGAUAACUCUUGGAAACGAUUGCUAAUACCGCAUAAAAUUGAUUAUUGCAUGAUAGUCAAUUAAAAGGUGCAAUUGCAUCACUACCAGAUGGACCUGCGUUGUAUUAGGUAGUUGGUGAGGUAACGGCUCACCAAGGCAACGAUACAUAGCCGACGUGCGAGGGGGGACGGCCCCCCUGGGAAUGAGACACGGCCCAGACUCCUACGGGAGGCAGCAGGAGGGAAACUUCGGCAAAGGACGGAAGGCUGACCGAACAACGCCGCGGGAGAGAAGAAAGGUCUCGGAUCGUAAAGCUCUGUUGUAAGAGAAGAACAAGGGUGUGAGUGAAAAGUUCACACUGUGACGGUAUCUUACCAGAAAGGGACGGCUAACUACGUG
rnacentral:rRNA from 1 species